UGAAACCUACGGGGGGCAGCAGUGAGGAAUAUUGGUCAAUGGCCGGAAGGCUGAACCAGCCAAGCCGCGUGAGGGAGGAAGGCGCAGAGCGUCGCAGACCUCUUUUGCCGGGGGACAAAAGGCCGGACUCGUCCGGUCCUGAGGGUACCCGGAGAAAAAGCAUCGGCUAACUCCGUGCCAGCAGCCGCGGUAAUACGGAGGAUGCGAGCGUUAUCCGGAUUUAUUGGGUUUAAAGGGUGCGUAGGCGGGAUGCCAAGUCAGCGGUAAAAAUGCGGUGCUCAACGCCGUCGAGCCGUUGAAACUGG
rnacentral:rRNA from 1 species